UACGGAGGGGGCAAGCGUUGUUCGGAAUUACUGGGCGUAAAGGGCUCGUAGGCGGCCAGCUAAGUCGGACGUGAAAUCCCUCAGCUUAACUGGGGAACUGCGUCCGAUACUGGAUGGCUUGGAUUUGGGAGAGGGAUGCGGAAUUCCAGGUGUAGCGGUGAAAUGCGUAGAUAUCUGGAGGAACACCGGUGGCGAAGGCGGCAUCCUGGACCAAUAUUGACGCUGAGGAGCGAAAGCGUGGGGAGCAAACAGG
rnacentral:rRNA from 1 species